UGGGGAAGCAGAGCUGCUCUGCCUGCCAUGUUUCAGUCAUGACGCAGUGCAUGAAGAGUGCUUACUUCUUGUGGCUCAAGAAUUCAAACCAGGUAUAACUUACAGAUUGACUCCACAGCUCGAUAUUAGCAUGCUAAAACAACAACUCUAGAAUGAUGCAUGCAGUAAAAUGAUUUGAUCGCAGCUGUUGUUCACAGAGAGAGCUACGGCGCUACCUGAGGGUAGCUUAAAAGAUUCUAAGGAUAAAAGUGAGUAACAAUGGUAGUAUCAAUGGCAGUAUAGAUUUUGUCCUUUUUUUGUUUUGUAUUUGACUGACUUUUUGGGUUUGAAGGAGUUAAGGAGGAAACGUUUUCAGUGGUCCUGGUUGGGGCCUCCACAGCGCUCCUGAUUGUCCUGCUUGCUCUGUUGUUUUGGGUCCUUCUUCUUUCUGCUGAGAGAUUCAGUAAGACACUUCAGGUUAAUCUCUUUCAAAGAUCACAAAAUCCGAAUUCAAACACUUUUGCAAUAUUUAGAGCCAGUUCCUGAGCCCGGAGAGCCGCAAAGUGAGGCAAAGCCUCAGUACAAACCGCUGCAGACCUCCACAGAGAAAGGAGCAGCACUAACAGACGUCCCUGUUUCAGCUGAGGAUCCAGCAAGGUGUGUUCUAUGAAUGUCUCUUCAGAGAAGCGCUGCAUCAUUACCUCUGAUCGUUGCCCUGAUCGGCUCUUGUAUAAUCAUUUACUGCACUCCCACACUCCUCAGAGGGCUGAGCUCAGUGAACCAUGAGAGUGAGCUGUAUCCAACCUCCAUCGUGAUCAAUGUUACCACCAACAUCAAGCCCUGCAGUGAAAACAAAGACACCAUCUCACAGGAGCAACAACAAGACUUCACCACAGAGGAGAUGCAGCAAAAACUGCAGACAAUUUGGGAGCUCGCUCAAGGUCAGAGUAUUGAGAUGCUUGACUAUGACUCGGUCCAGGACAUUUCCCUGCUCCUUGACUCUGGGGACAGCAUCUACAUCCUGAAGAGGUUGGCGUUGUCGUUAGGCGUUCCCCCUCAUAUCGCUGCUCUUCUCAGGGGCUUCCAGGACCUUUUCCAGUACCUGCGCACCUCUACCUACACACAGCUGCCACAGCUGGCCCAAGCGGCUGCUCUCCUGCCUAAUUCUGAAAUAGUUUCAAGGAUCCACAAAGCAGUGGUGAUUAAAGGACCUGUUACACCUUAAAUAUCCUGUCCCAAGUAUAACCUUGUAGCAUGAUUUCUGACUUACUUGACAUUUUUGCAACUGAAAGGUUUCAUUCAGUAAGCCUACUUUCUGCUGGAACAGAGAGAUGCUCUUAAGAAAUGCUUUUUUUUUUUUUUUUUUUUUAAAUAAAAAUCUCAUAUCACUGUAAGCUGACGAUGAACACUUACUUUAUUCCCAGCACUUCUUAUACCAAUGUUUAAUGUAAUGUUUAAUAUACUAACAUUUGUAUUUGUAACAUGUUUUUUAUGGCAGUAA
rnacentral:lncRNA from 1 species